rnacentral:rRNA from 1 species
GCAAGUCGAGGGGUAACAUAGAGAGCUUGCUUUCUGAUGACGACCGGCGCACGAGUGUGUAACGCGUAUGCAAUCUGCCUUAUACUGGAGAAUAGCCCAGAGAAAUUUGGAUUAAUGCUCCAUAAUUUAUUUAAAUCGCAUGGUUUAGAUAUUAAAGGUUACGGUAUAAGAUGAGCAUGCGUCCUAUUAGCUAGAUGGUGUGGUAACGGCACACCAUGGCAACGAUAGGUAGGGGCCCUGAGAGGGGGAUC